rnacentral:rRNA from 1 species
AGAGUUUGAUCCUGGCUCAGGACGAACGCUUGCGGCGUGCCUAAGAAAUGCAAGUCGAGCGAGAGUAGCAAUACUCUAGCGGCGAACGGUCGCGUAACACGUAGGCAACCUGCCCGAAAGACCGGGACAACACUUCGAAAGAGGUGCUAAUACCGGAUGGGGCCACGAGGAGGCAUCUUCUUGUGUCUAAACCCCGCAAG